rnacentral:tRNA from 2 species
GGGGCGGUAGUGUCAAAGGUAGCACGCCCUGUCGUCAACGGAGGAAGUACCAGUUCGACCCUGGUUCGCUCCA